GUCCCUGCCCUUUGUACACACCGCCCGUCGCUACUACCGAUUGAAUGGUUUAAUGAGAUCUUCGGAUUGGAUCCGUGGCGGUCGGCAACGGUCGCGACGGCAUUCGAGAAGUUGCUCUAAUUGUAUCAUUUAGGGGAAGUAAAAGUCGUAACAAGGUUUCCGUAGGUGAACCUGCGGAAGGAUCAUUACCGUGGCAGCGUUCAUCGCUGACCGUGCACCGUUGCGCUCGAGGGAGCCGGAGCGUGGCCCAACGUGUUGUUAUAUCGGGUCCAUUCGCUACAAAGCGAGCGAAUCUUCGCGGAUUUCUCCCUCGGGCGAGGGUUGGCCUGAGUUUUCGGUGUGAGAAGGGAGGCCAUUAAAGUCGGGGCCUCACUGCCCGUAAGCCGGCCGGGCAGUCUUUCCCGCGCCCCGUUUUUUUAAUUAAUUGCGUGUCCCGAGUUUUGGAGUGGCCAACAACCGUUACGUUGUUAGACCUUACAACUUCUAACGGUGGACCCCUCGGCUCGUGCAUCGAUGAAGAACGCAGCGAGCUGCGAUACGUAGUGUGAGUUGCAGAAUUCAGUGAAUCAUCGAGUCUUUGAACGCAAAUGGCGCUCCCGGUAAGGCCGGGAGCACGUCUGUCUGAGCGUCCGUUGUUUACGGUUGGGUCCCACUUUUUUCGGGGCUUGCUCUGAAAGUCGGUCAGUUGUGGCCGUCUUUUGAAGUAGCUUUUGCAGUCGCUGCGAUCGGUUGAGCUGCCUUGGCUGUCAGUCAGCACGCAACCGCUCUAGCGUUCUCUGCAAAGUGCCAAGUCGUUCGUUCCUGGACCUCAGAUCAGUCGAGACUACCCGCUGAAUUUAAGCAUAUCAAUAAGCGGAGGAAAAGAAACUAACCAGG
rnacentral:rRNA from 1 species